rnacentral:rRNA from 1 species
AACGCUAGCUACAGGCUUAACACAUGCAAGUCGAGGGGCAGCAUGGUCUUAGCUUGCUAAGACUGAUGGCGACCGGCGCACGGGUGAGUAACACGUAUCCAACCUGCCGUCUACUCUUGGACAGCCUUCUGAAAGGAAGAUUAAUACAAGAUGGCAUCAUGAGUCCGCAUGUUCACAUGAUUAAAGGUAUUCCGGUAGACGAUGGGGAUGCGUUCCAUUAGAUAGUAGGCGGGGUAACGGCCCACCUAGUCUUCGAUGGAUAGGGGUUCUGAGAGGAAGGUCCCCCACAUUGGAACUGAGACACGGUCCAAACUCCUACGGGAGGCAGCAGUGAGGAAUAUUGGUCAAUGGGCGAGAGCCUGAACCAGCCAAGUAGCGUGAAGGAUGACUGCCCUAUGGGUUGUAAACUUCUUUUAUAAAGGAAUAAAGUCGGGUAUGCAUACCCGUUUGCAUGUACUUUAUGAAUAAGGAUCGGCUAACUCCGUGCCAGCAGCCGCGGUAAUACGGAGGAUCCGAGCGUUAUCCGGAUUUAUUGGGUUUAAAGGGAGCGUAGACGGAUGUUUAAGUCAGUUGUGAAAGUUUGCGGCUCAACCGUAAAAUUGCAGUUGAUACUGGAUAUCUUGAGUGCAGUUGAGGCAGGCGGAAUUCGUGGUGUAGCGGUGAAAUGCUUAGAUAUCACGAAGAACUCCGAUUG